GGGACGGGUGAGUAAUGUCUGGGAAACUGCCUGAUGGAGGGGGAUAACUACUGGAAACGGUAGCUAAUACCGCAUAACGUCGCAAGACCAAAGAGGGGGACCUUCGGGCCUCUUGCCAUCGGAUGUGCCCAGAUGGGAUUAGCUAGUAUGUGGGGUAACGGCUCACCUAGGCGACGAUCCCUAGCUGGUCUGAGAGGAUGACCAGCCACACUGGAACUGAGACACGGUCCAG
rnacentral:rRNA from 1 species